rnacentral:rRNA from 1 species
UCGGGAAUUUUGGGCAAUGGGCGAAAGCCUGACCCAGCAACGCCGCGUGAAGGAUGAAGUAUUUCGGUAUGUAAACUUCGUAAGAAUAGGAAGAAUAAAUGACGGUACUAUUUGUAAGGUCCGGCUAACUACGUGCCAGCAGCCGCGGUAAUACGUAGGGUGCAGGCGUUAAUCGGAAUUACUGGGCGUAAAGCGUGCGCAGGCGGCUCCUUAAGUCAGAUGUGAAAGCCCCGGGCUUAACCUGGGAACUGCGUUUGAAACUGGGGAGCUAGAGUGUAGAAGAGGGGGGUGGAAUUCCAGGUGUAGCAGUGAAAUGCGUAGAGAUCUGGAGGAACACCGAUGGCGAAGGCAGCCCCCUGGGCUAACACUGACGCUCAUGCACGAAAGCGUGGGGAGCAAACAGGAUUAGAUACCCAAGUAGUCCCUGAGCGGGCUGGCAAGGCGCAU